CUUGAUACCAUUUACCGAGAAACAACAUACAAGGAAAAAAUACACUUGACCACUUAGUUCACUUGUAUACAUUCAAUGGCGACUUCAACGAAAUCAUCAAGCAUUAGAAAAGCACAAGUGACAGUUUCAUGCUUUUUCUGCAAAGGUCAAGAAAUCAAAUGGACAUGUGUGGAUUGCAAUGUACGCAUGUGUAACUCCUGUAAAAUUACUGUCCAUCAAGGACUUCAGUGUUCACAAGAUCAUGAUGUUAUUUCUAUUCAGGAUAUCAUUCAGUCAUCACCAAGUUCACAGGAGGUAAUGUCUGUAGUUAUUGCAUCAGUUUUCAAUUCAUACACAACUACUCUGCCUGCUGUUCAUACUUUACUUUGCUCGGACGACGGUUUACUUUACUAUACCUUUUGCCAUAUACAAUCGGAGGGAAAUCAGUUUGUAAAAGGUAAACUCUUAAAAUCAUCAAUAAAGAUAUUGCAGA
rnacentral:lncRNA from 1 species